rnacentral:rRNA from 1 species
UCGGACGAGAUUUUCCGUUGUAGCAAUACGAUGGAAAGUCUAGUGGCGAACGGGUGCUUAACACGUGGGCAACCUGCCAUGAAGUGGGGGAUAGCUCGCCGAAAGGCGAAUUAAUACCGCAUGUGAUUACAGAGGACAUCUUUUCGAAAUUAAAGUCGGGGCAACCUGACGCUUCUUGUGGGGCCCGCGGCCUAUCAGCUAGUUGGUGAGGUAACGGCUCACCAAGGCUUUGACGGGUAGCUGGUCUGAGAGGACGACCAGCCACACUGGGACUGAGACACGGCCCAGACACCUACGGGUGGCAGCAGUCGAGAAUUUUUGACAAUGGGGGAAACCCUGAUCGAGCGACGCCGCGUGGAGGAUGAAGGUCUUCGGAUUGUAAACUCCUGUCAUUGGGGAACAAGGUGGAUACGUUAACUGCGUGUGCAUUGAUAGUACCCGAAGAGGAAGAGACGGCUAACUCUGUGCCAGCAGCCGCGGUAAUACAGAGGUCUCAAGCGUUGUUCGGAUUCAUUGGGCGUAAAGGGUGCGUAGGCGGCGCGGUAAGUCGGGUGUGAAAUCUCGGAGCUUAACUCCGAAACUGCAUUCGAUACUGCCGUGCUUGAGGACUGGAGAGGAGACUGGAAUUUACGGUGUAGCGGUGAAAUGCGUAGAUAUCGUAAGGAAGACCAGUGGCGAAGGCGGGUCUCUGGACAGUUCCUGACGCUGAGGCACGAAGGUCAGG